rnacentral:rRNA from 1 species
UACGGAGGAUGCAAGCGUUAUCCGGAAUGAUUGGGCGUAAAGCGUCCGUAGGUGGCGAUUCAAGUCUGCUGUUAAAGCGCAGGGCUUAACCCUGUAAAGGCGGUGGAAACUGGAGAGCUAGAGUGUGGUAGGGGUAGAGGGAAUUCCCGGUGUAGCGGUGAAAUGCGUAGAUAUCGGGAAGAACACCAGUGGCGAAAGCGCUCUACUGGGCCAUAACUGACACUGAGGGACGAAAGCUAGGGGAGCGAAAGGG